rnacentral:misc_RNA from 1 species
GAAAUGCGAUAAGUAGUGUGAAUUGCAGAAUUCAGUGAAUCAUCGAAUCUUUGAACGCACAUUGCGCCCCUUGGUAUUCCAUGGGGCAUGCCUGUUCGAGCGUCAUUUGUACCCUCAAGCCCUGCUUGGUGUUGGGUGUUUGUCCCGUCUCCGCGCGUGGACUCGCCCCAAAGUGAUUGGCAGCCGGCGUACUGGUCCCGGAGCGCAGCACAUGUCGCGCAAACGAGUGCCUUGGCACGGCGGCGUCCAUAAGCCCCUCUCUCACGCUCUUGACCUCGGAUCAGGUAGGGAUACCCGCUGAACUUAAGC